rnacentral:rRNA from 1 species
GUCCCAGUUCGGAUUGUAGUCUGCAACCCGACUACAUGAAGCCGGAAUCGCUAGUAAUCGCGGAUCAGAAUGCCGCGGUGAAUACGUUCCCGGGUCUUGUACACACCGCCCGUCACACCAUGGGAGCCGGAAAUGCCCGAAGCCAGUGACCCAACCUUAGGGAGGGAGCUGUCGAAGGUGGAGCCGGUAACUGGGGUGAAGUCGUAACAAGGUAUC